GGAACGUUAGCUCAGCUGGUUCAGAGCGCUGCUUUCACACAGCAGAGGUCACUGGUUCGAGCCCAGUACGUUCCA
rnacentral:tRNA from 1 species